UCUGGAGGGGAAGAAGAAGAAGAAGGAGCACAAAUCACACCUUAAUACCGCUUGAGAAACUCCGGAGUGAAAUUUCAGAAGGAACCUAAAAUGUACAGAAUGACUUUGACUUUCUGUCAACUUUGAAAUGCACACGUUCAUGUGUCAGUACUUUUUGCACGGCUGUUCUCAAACAGCGUUUCAUCCCUGAAUGGCCAGAUAUAUUCGACUUUGGUAUUAAUUGGUCAUCUUCAUCACACGGUUGACAUUCGAGGGGGCCGGUACCAAAUGGGCCACGGCCCGGUAUUGGUCCACGGACUGUUGGUUGGGGGACCCCUGCUAUAGAAGACUACCAUUUGUCGGAAUCUGGGUCAAAUUCGGCCGAGAGUAGCUUUAUUUGCUGUGCGGACCCCGACAGGUGAAUACAUGCUCUUAAGAAGUAACAGAUGAGGGUGACGAGCAGAGCGGCGGCCACCGUUCCCGUGGAAACACCAAACUUGAGCCAAAAAUCCAGACUCACACAAGCGCUGACAGUCUGGGCUGGGAGAGCCUCUCCUCCGGCACACCGCAACGGCUGCUGCCAGACCGGACACGCAUGCUGACUCUGCCAAAGGAAGUGGAAAGAGCAGCCAUCGCACGUCCCCUCCGAACAGUUACUGUCGAAGAGAAACCAAACAGGGAGAUUUGUUGGAG